UGGUUCCUCUCUCAGACAUAUGUUGUCAUCUGUUGGAUCAGUCUGUGUUGUGGUUCUACUGGUGUUGCUGGUUCUACUGGGGAGACAAUGUGUUCACAGGAAACCUGAAGCAGGUCAAGAAGAAACUGGAGAAGAUGACAUCAUCACUCAUGUCAUGUACAGUUUCAUCAAAUCAUCAACAACAGCCAGUCAGAAGAAGCAGAGGAAGUGAAGCCAAACAGCAAAAGGAUCUCAAUCCCCUGCUUAAGAUCCCCUAGAGCAGGGGUCAGCAACCUUUAACACCCAAAGAGCCAUUUGGACCCGGUUUCCACGCAAAAGAA